rnacentral:rRNA from 1 species
UACGUAGGGGGCGAGCGUUGUCCGGAAUUAUUGGGCGUAAAGAGCUCGUAGGCGGUGUGUCACGUCGGCCGUGAAAACCUGCAGCUUAACUGUGGGCGUGCGGUCGAUACGGGCAUCACUGGAGUUCGGCAGGGAGGACUGGAAUUCCUGGUGUAGCGGUGAAAUGCGCAGAUAUCAGGAGGAACACCGGUGGCGAAGGCGGGUCUCUGGCCGAUACUGACGCUGGAGGAGCGGAAAGCGUGGGGAGCGAACAGG